AUUCACCGCUAGGGGUGCUCGCAACGAGCUGAGAGAGGCAUUCGCCUUAACCCUUAUAACUUGAACCGGAUCGUGCCGGCGUAAGGAAGAGGUGUUGAGAGGUA
rnacentral:ncRNA from 2 species